GUGAAAAUCAACUUAAAAAACUCUACCGAUCAGCUUGUAUAUAUACAGCCUUUUGAUAUAUUUCCCAAAUUCAAGUUGUGUAUGACAUUAAUUUAUUGAAAUAACCAUAUAAUGUGAAUUUUGUUUAAUUAUUGCUAACAAAAAGUGGACGUAACUAAUGGAACAACCAAAGAUCUGGACCAACCCUCGGCAGCAUUAAUGCAGAUGGUGGAAUUCAAAGGCAAUGGGGAGGAGAAUAUAACUAAAGAAUGUAUUCGGAAACUAGUGGGCACAAAAUUAAACAAGGGCCAGCAGCUGAAAUGGAACAACCGGAAGUUGACUAUAGACCCUGUACCUCCAACGUCUCUACCGAGGUCCUCCUACUGUAUCAAGUGCUUGUAUUACAUUGAGGUAACAUGUCCAUUUGUCGUUUCAUCUGUUUGUCGUCCGUCUGUAAACCUUUUACAGUUUUGACUUCUCCAGAACCACCGGGUCAAUUUUUCAACCGAACUUGGCUCAAAGCACUACUCUUAGAAGAAUAGUGAUCAAGUUUUUAUAUUUAAUGUCAUGCCCUUCUUUAAGUGGUAAUAAUUAUUAUUUUCUCCCUCGUUUCACUCCUCCGAAAAUAAAUAAUUUCUUGACUAAAUCAUUGAAAAACAAAACAGAUAUUUUUAGGAUUGGUGCGUUCGUUACAAAUCACAUUUAAUAUCCAUAGUAUAACAUAUAAAUAAACGACAACACAAAAAAAAUAAUCUCAAAAAACAUAUUUGGGUCAGGGCGGGUUGGGAAAUCCAAAGACACAACCUGUACUGCUUCGUAACGAACGUCGCAUUAAUACUUAUUUUGAUAUUUACCUAGAUCAAGAUCCCCCUUCCUUGUUACAAUGAAGACAUUAAAUUAUUGUUCCCAAUCACCAUAGGAACUGUGCCUCGGAACCACAAGAAAAGACAGAAUGAAAUGUCUCCUCCCAGCAAUGAUGCAUUUAACAACCCAGAUCUUUCAAACAGCAUUACCUACAGAGAACAGAAAAAGUCCACGUCGCGUUUCGAGUACAGCAGCAACACUCUGGAAUUUCCCAACAUCUUGUAUACACCCCUGACAGCCUAUGUCGUAAAGUAUACACCCACAGCAUCUGGAACCGCACACUCCACGUCCAGUCUAAAGAAAUCCUAUAGCUAGACUUCCAGUCAAUGCAGGGAUAGAAAAUGAAAGGAAGAUCAGAUACAGAUAUACUGCAGUAUUACAUUGUAUAAUUCCUGGAAUAAAGAAUUGGAGCAGAAUGUGGUGAUGUCAUACCAAAAAGACAUUAAAAAUUGGAUCAAUUGUGAUUC
rnacentral:misc_RNA from 1 species